GUGAAGCGCCGGGUGAAGGUUUCCACUCAGAAAGAAGUGAAUUGUGUGAGAAUUGUUCAGGCUUUUAGGUUAGAAAACGCAAUCUAGAAAGUAGAUUAAUAUUCGCAUGCCUGACAAACGUCCCUACUCUGAGCGCUCAGUGACUGCUUCUAGAAUACCUUAAGCACACAUCUAAUAAAGGAUUUUCGGUGAAUAUUAGCGACAGCACCAAGAAGAAAAACAACAUGCCUGUGCCGGGCGCUGUCCGCUCUCUUUCAUCUUCCACCCGCUGGAACCUUCUGGCAAGAAGGGGAGGAGGAUGACUCGAGCAAAAAAGGAAGAGAGUUUGCACCACUGGGUGGACUACCAAAGCUGUACUCUCAGGAGGAAGAGAUUUUCCCCCAGUGAGAUAAUCAAGCUUUUCUCAACUUCAGCAGAUUCUCAGAGGACCCAGCUUCAACAAGGAAUCCAAAGAAAGCUGUUAGCAUUGCCUAUUUGUGCUGCUGAUUGGAAUCUGGGCUUCCAUAAAUUUUAAGCCAGCUUGAUCAGCAAAUUGAAGCAUAGUCUGGAUCUGAAGUAUUUUAAGUGCAAGUACUUGGAGGAGCUGCUUCCUGGGAGAGCAGUGAGAAGGGCAACGUGGGGACAGCCUUUGUCCUCCAUUCAACCUUCAACUGUAUCUGAUGAGAACCUACGAUAAGAAAGGAAAAGAAUCUCCAUCUUUGGCUCCGAUUGUUCCAUAAAUACUUUUUUGGUCUUCACAGAGGGGCAAGGUAUAGGGAGAGAAGGAACUUGCAAUAAUACCCACCUUAGAAGUUAGAGGACAUGACUAAAAUUCUUCAAGAUAUUUUUGUUGUUUUUUUCCAUCUGUUCAGAGAGUCUGAAGAACUGGCCAUGCUUAGUUCAUUAAUAAUUUAACAAAUAUUUCUUGAGCACUUAAAUGUGCCAGUACUGGAGAUAAAAAUACUAAUAAAUCAUAGAAAUCUGUGGGGAUGGGAACAGGGAGAGUAGAGGCAGAGAGAAAUAGACACAAAUGGAAUACUUGAUCAUUUCAAUGCUGUGUGUUAGACAAAUGCACACAUAUAUGGAUAUAUUUGCAAGUGUAUAUGUUAAUGUGGACAAAUAUAGAUGUAUUUAUAUGUGGGUAUGUACAUAUAUAUGUGUAUAUAUGCAUAUAGAUAUAUAUCUCUCAUAUGUAUAUGUAAAAUACCAGGUACUAAUUGUAUGUAAAUUACUGUGUUGAUUAUAUUACAAACAUUAUCACACUUAAUAUUCACCCAAAAGGGUUGUUUUAAGGAUUGUCAUUUCCAAAUUAUAAAGGAGGAGAAUGGAGACUCAGAGAAUACAAGACUUUCCUAAAGUCAAAAAGCUGGUAAGUGCAGUUAUGGGAUUAAAUGCAGGUGGGCCUGGUGCCAAGCCUCUGUUCUCAGCCACUUCACUGGACUUCCUAUCAUAUGAAAGAGACACAGAAGAAUAGAGGUAAUGUCUGAGGUUUUGUGUUUUAUUUUGUUUUAGGUAUCUGUCUUUUGCAUAGAUAUUAAAUUCACAUGACUCAAAACUCAACAUUAAAGCACAUGGUGGGAAGUUUGCUCCCGUAUUGACUACUCUCUACUUCCAACCCUCUACACCAUCCUUGUCCAAAAGAAAAAACUUUUGUAGUUCCUUGUUGUUAUUCGAGAGUCCCCGUACACAAAUGCGUUUAUCCCUCCCCUUCCAUUACACAGAGAGGUACACUAUACACAUUGUUCUGCAACUUGAUUUUUAAAUUUAAUGAUGUAUCUUAGAAAUAUUUCCAUGUCAGAAUAUAGUGUCCUCAUUCUUUCUUACAGCACUAUAACAUCAUAUGAUAUGGAUGUACCAUAAUUUAUUUAAAUGUUCCAUUCCCAAUUUGAUGGACAUUUCUGGGUACUAUCUUGACCAGUCUACCUUAUAGAAUUCUCUUACUGCUGGUAAUAAUUUUUCUAUUGUUUCUUUUGGGUUUUCCUGGAUCACAAUAUUCUUUCCAAAUAUUAUACUUCUGAAUUCAUUUUCUUGUAUCAUGUCAUUGGCUAUUACAAGACCCGAGUUUUUAAAGGAAAAGGGCUUAGUCAAAAAGAGGAUUGGUAUCUGAGGCAGGGAAAACAUCAACACAAGGAUAUGAAACACCGUGAUUGGUACUGAGAAAUACAGGAAAUCAGAAAUAUUACGAUGUAAAAUAAUACAAGAUGAGAUGUAGAAGGAAUAAAGGGGAACACAUGCUGUAAGGGAAUGGGGCUAUAUGAAGAUGGGAAGUGUUUGCAAUGAGGGACGUGACAAGAUCAAGCAAUAGUAAGACAGAUCCAUUGAAGGCGGCAAACCUCAGGGAACUCUUUAAUGAUUCCAGGUGAAACAUGAUCAAGGUAAACAAUGUUGGCAGGGAGAGAAAAGGGUAAUAACAAUACUUAGCAGAUAAAACUGGCAAGCCUUGAUGAUGCAGAGGCAUGGAGAUGGAGAUUCUGGUUGGACAGAUGAUGUCUGUAAGCCAGAUAAGGUGUGCAGGUGGAGGAAUAAGUUGUAGAAGGAAGACGAGAAAUUUGACUUUCAAAAUGAUAAUCUUAAGAUAUACUUCACUAAAUAAAGGGUACUGUGGUACCCCAGCUUUACUACCUGAUGGCCAGAUGGGUGUGUUGAUCUCUUAUUUGAUAAGUCAUAGAGCUUGGACCUAAAUGCAGCUUUCUUAAUCCCAAAAUCAGCAAUCAUUCCACUGUGCGUGCUGCUUUUGAAAUCAGCGGAGCAUGUGAAAGAACAUAAUUGAAAACAAGCACAGCUAAUUAAAAUGAGAAGAAAAAAACUGCAAGAGAGAAUAGUAGACAGAGUGUGCUACGUAGACAGACUGGGACCACAUAGCAGAAUCCCAACAUUUGGGGCUUUGACCCAGUCUAGGUGACCCAAAUUUAGAGAAUACAACAGAAAAUAAUAGCUUUUUUUAAGAUUAUGCACAUUUUGAGUAAUCCCCUUACACCAUCUCUGUUGAGGUCAUCUACCAUGAGCUCUGAACAUCCCCACACAUGCUUGCUUGGUGUAUCAAGAAACCAAGGCCCUGGCCACACUUUACCUAGUCUUAGAGUGUGUUUGCAAAGAGCAACCUUGAGGAAUGAGAUAAUGUCUCUCUCUGGGACAAAGCGGAGGCCAUUUACUCUGACUAUAAAACAGUGGGUUCCCCAGGCACAGUGUCCUCUGCUGUAAUGCAGCUCCCUGUAUGUACACAUGGCCAUCUGGUCCCCUCUGCGUUGCUCCUGUGAGACUCGGUAGGGGUGAGAGCGAGAGGAACACAUGCAAAUGUGCUGGGGGUGAUGCUGCUUGCUGUGCCUGAGUAUUAAAGUCCCUUCUCUCUGAAGUAUGAGUACAUAUCUUCUGCCAGUAUUCAUGAAAGAGUCAAAGACUAAUUGAUUAGCUUAGAAAUAAGAUAAAGUCAUAUCCUAGAUCCUGACCAUCCCUGCCCUGACAAUUUUGAGUCAUGGUACUCAGUUUGCCCUUAUCAGCUCCUGAGAGCCCCCUUAGCAGCCAAGAGAUAGUUAUGUAAGAAAAAACAAGGUGAGAGAGCCCACAUGGCCCAGGCCCCUUGGUGCUUGAGCAGGGCCCCCCCACCAAGCCUUCUCCCUUCAUCCUCAUUGUUUCUUCAUGAUAUGAGAGGAUGUCAUAGCUUGUGGACCUGUCAUUAUGAAUUUUGUUUCUCAUCAACAGAGGGAGUGAGGCAGGAUUGUUCAGGGUCUUUCUAAAAGCUCAGCACUGAAUUUCCACUUAACCACUUCUGUAUUUCUGUCUCUCCAGUUUACUGAUUGUGCUCCCCACCGUGACCUUUUGCUAUGCCACUGGCAUCAAUCAAUGUGCCAGAAUCACCAUUACUGAUAGGAUCAGAGAGAGCAGAGAUCUGAGAGAGGAAAUGCAGAGCCAACGCAGGAAUGUAUAGCAAUCCAUUAAUUGCUUUCUCGUUAUUUUUAUAACACUUUCCCCAUGGUAAGUAAUCCUUUGCUUUGGCCUGAGACCCAAAAGGCCUCUCACAGCCACAGGAAAAAGUGUAAAUCAGAAAUAAACCAGGGGCGCAUAAGUGGCUCAAUCGUUAAGAGUCUGCCUUCGGCUCAGGGUGUGAUUCCACAGUCCUGGGAUCGAGCCCCACGUCAGGCUCCUCCAC